rnacentral:rRNA from 1 species
ACGAACGCUGGCGGCGUGCUUAACACAUGCAAGUCGAACGGAAAGGCCCUGCUUGCAGGGUGCUCGAGUGGCGAACGGGUGAGUAACACGUGGGUGAUCUGCCCCUUACUUUGGGAUAAGCCUGGGAAACUGGGUCUAAUACUGGAUAGGACCAUGCUGUAGGUGGUGUGGUGGAAAGAUUAGUUUCGGUAAGGGAUGAGCUCGCGGCCUAUCAGCUUGUUGGUGGGGUAAUGGCCUACCAAGGCGUCGACGGGUAGCCGGCCUGAGAGGGUGGACGGCCACAUUGGGACUGAGAUACGGCCCAGACUCCUACGGGAGGCAGCAGUGGGGAAUAUUGCACAAUGGGCGCAAGCCUGAUGCAGCGACGCCGCGUGGGGGAUGACGGCCUUCGGGUUGUAAACUCCUUUCAGCCAUGACGAAGCCCUUGUGGUGACGGUAGUGGUAGAAGAAGCACCGGCUAACUACGU